AUACGGAAGGUCCGGGCGUUAUCCGGAUUUAUUGGGUUUAAAGGGAGCGCAGGCGGAGAUGCAAGCGUGACGUCAAAUUUCGGGGCUCAACCCCGUCUCGCGUCGCGAACUGCGUCCCUUGGUUGCGGGAAGGGGAGGCGGAACUCGUGGUGUAGGGGGUGAAUGCAUAGAUAUCACGAAGAACUCCGAUCGCGAAGGCAGCCUUCCGGCCCGUCAACGACGCUCAUGCUCGAAGGUGCGGGUAUCAAACAGGAUUAGAUACCCUGGUAGUCCGCACAGUAAACGAUGGACACCCGCGGUUUGGCCUGUAUGGCUGAGCCGCCAAGCGAAAGCGUUAAGUGUCCCACCUGGGGAGUACGCCGGCAACGGUGAAACUCAAAUGAAUUGACGGGG
rnacentral:rRNA from 1 species